rnacentral:rRNA from 1 species
GNAAGUCGUACGCUUCUUUUUNNNCGGAGCUUGCUNNNACCGGAAAAAGAAGAGUGGCGAACGGGUGAGUAACACGUGGGUAACCUGCCCAUCAGAAGGGGAUAACACUUGGAAACAGGUGCUAAUACCGUAUAACAAUCGAAACCGCAUGGUUUUGAUUUGAAAGGCGCUUUCGGGUGUCGCUGAUGGAUGGACCCGCGGUGCAUUAGCUAGUUGGUGAGGUAACGGCUCACCAAGGCCACGAUGCAUAGCCGACCUGAGAGGGUGAUCGGCCACAUUGGGACUGAGACACGGCCCAAACUCCUACGGGAGGCAGCAGUAGGGAAUCUUCGGCAAUGGACGAAAGUCUGACCGAGCAACGCCGCGUGAGUGAAGAAGGUUUUCGGAUCGUAAAACUCUGUUGUUAGAGAAGAACAAGGAUGAGAGUAACUGUUCAUCCCUUGACGGUAUCUAACCAGAAAGCCACGGCUAACUACGUGCCAGCAGCCGCGGUAAUACGUAGGUGGCAAGCGUUGUCCGGAUUUAUUGGGCGUAAAGCGAGCGCAGGCGGUUUCUUAAGUCUGAUGUGAAAGCCCCCGGCUCAACCGGGGAGGGUCAUUGGNNNNUGGGAGACUUGAGUGCAGA